rnacentral:lncRNA from 1 species
CGGAACGGGAAGCAGCUCUGAGUGGAGGAAUAGGGGCAGGGCACUCCAGGCAGAGGGCAUGGCACGUGCAAAGGCCUAAAGGGAUGGACACAGAGACAGACGCACAAGGAAGAAGGCCAUGUGGCGACAGAGGCGAGCACUGGAGGGAUGUGUAGACGAGCCACGGAACACGGAACAAGGAACAAGGAGGGUGGCUAGCGCCUGCCAGAAGCCAGAAAAAGGCACGGCAGGUGCUUUGUCAGAGCCUCCACGGGAACUGAGCCUACCACCAGCCUGAUUUCAGGCAUCACGCCUCCAGGAUUCUCCAAGAGAGAAUGAAUUUCUAUUGUUUUCAAGCA